CUGCCCAUUCCCUCCCCCAAUUUAAUACACUGCCCCCUUUCUCAAAUGAAUACACUGUCCUACCCUCCCCAAUUUAGCACACUACACAGGAAGGUCCUCCAAGCCUCUCUUCCCCUACCUUAAGAUGAGCUGAGUCCUCCAGUUCCAGCUCUUCUCUGCUCAAGCAGACCAGACACUCUUUUGGCACUGCGAGCAGGAGGGAAAGGGUAGUGGCUGGCCUGCGGAAGCAGACAAUCGACCGUGAAGGGAAGACAAAAAUCAAACAGGAAAUAUCUUUCCUUUCUUGCGGCUGGUCGCAGCCACAACACAAAGUGGUAAAACAAAAAGGAGGAAGAGUCUGCGCUAAUUCAAUUAAGCAGCAACCCUAAAAGGGAAAUCCCUCACGAAACCCUUAUGUAAAAAAUGCAAGAAAAAAGGGGGGUCAAGGGCUGCGCUUGGGUAAAAAAAUUAAAAGUGUAUAAAAUCGUAUAUUAAUAAAAUAAACAGUGAUAA